AUGAACGCUGGCGGCGUGCUUAACACAUGCAAGUCGAACGAUUAAAGCUCACUUCGGUGAGUGUAUAGAGUGGCGAACGGGUGAGUAACACGUGGGAAACCUGCCCCUUUCUUCGGGAUAACUUCGGGAAACCGUUGCUAAUACCGGAUACUCCGGGAUGGUCGCAUGGCCGACCCGGGAAAGCUUUAUGUGGAAAGGGAUGGUCCCGCGGCCCAUUAGCUUGUUGGUGGGGUAAUGGCCUACCAAGGCGAUGAUGGGUAGCCG
rnacentral:rRNA from 1 species